AUUGAACGCUGGCGGCAGGCCUAACACAUGCAAGUCGAACGGUAACAGGAAGAAGCUUGCUUCUUUGCUGACGAGUGGCGGACGGGUGAGUAAUGUCUGGGAAACUGCCUGAUGGAGGGGGAUAACUACUGGAAACGGUAGCUAAUACCGCAUAAUGUCGCAAGACCAAAGAGGGGGAUCUUCGGGCCUCUUGCCAUCGGAUGUGCCCAGAUGGGAUUAGCUAGUAGGUGGGGUAACGGCUCACCUAGGCGACGAUCCCUAGCUGGUCUGAGAGGAUGACCAGCCACACUGGAACUGAGACACGGUCCAGACUCCUACGGGAGGCAGCAGUGGGGAAUAUUGCACAAAGGGCGCAAGCCUGAUGCAGCUAUGCCGCGUGUAUGAAGAAGGCCUUCGGGUUGUAAAGUACUUUCAGCGGGGAGGAAGGGAGUAAAGUUAAUACCUUUGCUCAUUGACGUUACCCGCAGAAGAAGCACCGGCUAACUCCGUG
rnacentral:rRNA from 1 species